CCUUGUACACACCGCCCGUCACAUCAUGGGAGUUGGUUUUACCUUAAGACGGUGCGCUAACCGCAAGGAGGCAGCCGGCCACGGUAAGGUCAGCGACUGGGGUG
rnacentral:rRNA from 1 species